GUCUGCCCCGCCGUGCGUCCGCUCGUCCGCGUUGUCCGUACUAGGAAACAGUCGGGCGACCAUCAUCCCCUCCCCGAUUCCCUCCCCGUUUCCUACCACGUCCGCGCGGGCGCCGUCAAUCACGCGCCCCAAUCUCCUCCACGAGAGCGCCCCAAUCCGUCUGUGAGGGCGCCGUCCUCUAGCGUCAUCCUCGAGUGCCGUCCGCACGAGCUCUGCCCCGCGACAGCUUCGUCCUCGAGCGUCGUCUGUGAGAGCGCCGUCCUCGAGAGCACCGUCCUCGAGCGCCAACGUCUACGUCGUUGUAGCCUGCUUGCUCACCGACAUCAAGGCCGACCUCCGAGUUGUGGUGGGGGCGCAGAUGCCGAUUCAACAGCGCAUCAGGGGCGCGUCGCCAUGGAUGUCCCUGGCGGGAAGCCGAAGUGAGUGCCACGGGGUGGGAGCGUGACGUGAAGAUGUCUUCGCGCAUGAUGAGCUGAUGAGGUACGGGUUCCAGUUACUCUACUUGUCCAAUUUGACUCUGCUUCAUUCAGUGUGGUGCUCGCGCUGUGUUGGUGGAUUGGUGGUACAAGAAGGUGAACUGGGUGCUGAAUCCAUCCACUUGAGGUGGAAGCAAUUGGGCUGCUGUGAUAGUGAGAUUGGUGGACAUCAUCACUGACAAAGUGGUGAAUUAAUGGACUUGUGGUGGAAGUGUUGCUGUUCCAGGCAAUUGAAAUGUUACUCUUCUUGUGUGCUUCUUUGUUCUCAUAGUGACAUGCAGUUGCCUUGUUACUUAUUUUUUGGGCUCCGUCAAUGCCCCAGGGUGUGGAUUCCAUAGACGCAUAUGGCUGAGGAACUAGAAAUGAGCCUCUCGGGGAAUGAGGAUUUCUCAAGCAUAUCAACUGAGACAACUUAUUCAAUAAAGUUGACCUUUCCUUCAGCUUCAAUAGUUAAGCAACUGGUGUCUACCAUUGAGAAAGAUCAUGUUCCUUACCAAGCAUUUUAAAUAUGUUUAGAAUUUUCACAGUUUCUGAAUGGUUUAGUUUGGGGUAUUUCAUAUCUGUUGGACCUCUAAAAAAAUGAAAAUUGUGUGCUGAUGUUUGAGAUUGUUGAAGCCUGGUCUAAACCUGAGGGCAACAACAAAAGGUCAUUCAGUUUAAGCUCUGAAUGCUCUAACCUUUUCACUCUUAAAAAUAAACUCAAACACUCAAGUUCUGAUUGCUUUUGCAUUCUAUGAUGGCAGUGGGAUGAGAGUUGAAGAAGUCAUGUUUUUUUCUUUGGCUACCCUCUGACAAACCACAUUGGCCUCUACAUCUUUUUUAGUUUUCCAUUAUUUUUAUUAAGCAGACAGUACCUACUAAAUUUAUUUUGUGGUUGUUACAAUUCAGUAAACUACUACUCUUGGACAGUUUUGGUGUCGAACGCUAAUAUAGCAGAACUCCACCAAUUCAUGGAAACCAUGGAAGAACAUGCACCCACCAGACAAAGUAAUGAUAAGGAUGAGCCAUCUGGUGAGGAGGCAAACUAUGAUAUGGAGAUGUUGUUAGGACUAGAGGCUUCCGUAAAGAUGGUGAUAUAAUUACAACCAAUGUGGAGCACAAAGAGUGCGGUGACUAGGACGAUCAGGCACACUAUGAGGAGAAGCUCGUGCUGGACAGGUAGCCGACCAUGGUGACACGAGCCAUAUCUCCUACAACUAAAAAGAGUAAAAGAUGGACACCAGUUUCGUGCGACAUUCGUCCAUCGGGUCUUUCGUCCUGCCUCCUGCGAUGAGGAAACCCGCCCGGCUCUCUCUUCCGCAGCACAAAAAAAGGAAAGCGCCCGCUAUCUCCUCCACGAAUCCUCCUCGGCGCCGCCUCGACGAAUCCUCCUCCACGCAGAGCGCCCACCUCCUCCUCGACGAAUCCUCCUCGGCGCCCCCUCGACGAAUCCUCCUCCACGCAGAGCGCCCGCCUCCUCCUCGACGAAUCGGCGACCGCCUCCUCGGCGCCCCGCUCCCAGAUUUCGGUGCCCGCGCGAACUCCGGUGCGCAUAUUUCGGUGGCCGCGUCCCGCUGUCCGCGCAGCGACCCGCCGUGGGAAUCUCGGCGAUCUCCGGUGGCCGAACAACCGGUCCGCACCCGCGCGGACUCUGGUGGCCACGCUGCCCGCGCACCGCGCACGCCGGUGGCCGCGCCCCUCGCCCCCGCCGCUCACUCGCUACCUGAGCGGCCGCGCCGGUGCCCGCUGCCCGCGCCGCGUACACCGGUGGCCACUGCUACCCGAGCGAGCCGCGCCCUGGGCCGUAACCCUAGCCGUCACCGGUUGACACAAGGUCGUUGCGGGGCGCGCCGGCGUUGGCAGGCCAUGGCAGACUACAGUGUUGCCAUGGCUGGCCCAUGCGGUGACGGUGCACCGCCUCUUCCUCUCCCCGCCGGUGGCUACGCUCACCUCCGCCCUACGCCAGGUUUGCUGGACUGACAUUAUCCGCUAGAUGUGGGCACUCUUUAAAGAAAUUUGGGCAUCAUGGAGAAAUAUUGUUUUUACAGCCCAAGAAAAGGACCUUUUCGAUGCACUUGCUAAGCUUUCUGAAGUAUCAUAUGAUGUUGUUUAUUUCGGUGCUGACCAUAACCAUCGGUCGGUCAACCUCAAUGAGCACGACAAUGGCAAGGGCGAUGAGGCAGUGCUGUUAAAGCUUGUGAGUUCAAGUGACGAGAUGUCAUCUGAGAUUAACAAGGUAAAGAUCCAGGGCGUUGCUUCCGUCCCCCUCAGCUGUGACCCUCACCGGUGGCACUGCCAGCUUAUCUCCGCUCCUCCUAGCGCCGCCACUGCUCGUGGCUGCGUCUUCCGCCUCUGGCCCACUGAUGGCCGUGGGGUUGACCUUCGUGCCCUCGGCUCUGUGCAAGAAGCGGUCCUUAAUUGACCAAGCUCACGGCGGAGAGGAGAGGAUGCUGGAGUUCGCUCGACACUUUAGGUGGCGCAUCCACAAGGCCAGUGCGGAAGCUAUUGACGCCUUUUGCGCCCAUAUUGGUGUCCCCGGAACCGGAUGAGCAAAAACAUGCACCUCGCCUCCACGCUGAUCGUGCCCGUGCGUGGGAGGUUCCAACGCCUAAAGCUCACUGCGGACCAAGCCUAAAGUUCAGAGUACAAAAAUUUGGGAACAGGAGGUUCCAACGCCUCAACAAGCUAUUUGAUUGUUGUACUGUCCAAUCAUUUUUUAAUAUCUAACAUUAUCUUUAUUAGUUGUUUUUUGAAUCUCUAAUGGUGUGUGAUCUACUGCGUUCAAAUAAUUUGCCCUCAAAUCCAAUUGAUAGCCUAAUCCAACCGCUCUGCGGGAUGGUAUGGAGAUAUGGUGAAACUUA